UACGAAAGGAGCAGGUGUUAUUCAGAUUAACUGGGCGUAAAGGGCACGUAGGUGGUUGUUUAUGUGUAUUAUUAAAUUGUAAAGCAUAACUUUAUAACGUAUUACAGACAACAAACUAGAGUUAGGUAGAGGGUAGUAGAAUUUCUAAUGUAAAGGUGAAAUUUGAUAAAAUUAGAGAGAAUACCAUGGCGUAAGCAACUAUCUGGUCCUUAACUGAUACUGAGGUGCGAAGGUAUGGGGAGCCGAAUAGGAGUUAGGAUAACCCGGAGUACGU
rnacentral:rRNA from 1 species